rnacentral:rRNA from 1 species
CCUACGGGAGGCAGCAGUGGGGAAUAUUGGACAAUGGGGGCGAACCCUGAUCCAGCCAUGCCGCGUGUGUGAAGAAGGCCUUAGGGUUGUAAAGCACUUUCAGUGGGGAGAAAGGUAAUUCACCUAAUACGUGAGUUAAUUGAUGUUACCCACAGAAGAAGCACCGGCUAACUCCGUGCCAGCAGCCGCGGUAAUACGGAGGGUGCAAGCGUUAAUCGGAAUUACUGGGCGUAAAGCGCACGUAGGUGGUUUGUUAAGUCAGCUGUGAAAUCCCCGGGCUCAACCUGGGCACUGCAGUUGAAACUGGCAAGCUAGAGUAGGGUAGAGGGGUGUGGAAUUCCAGGUGUAGCGGUGAAAUGCGUAGAUAUCUGGAGGAACAUCAGUGGCGAAGGCGACACCCUGGACUCAUACUGACACUGAGGUGCGAAAGCGUGGGGAGCAAACAGGUAUUAGACUACCCUGGUAGUCCACGCCGUAAACGAUGUCUACUAGCCGUUGGGUCCUGAGGUCCUUAGUGGCGCGNGCGACGACACUACGUAGACGCCGCGGAGGUACGGUCGCGAGAGUAACGUAACAAGAGAGUAGUAGCGUGAGAGUGACGACGACGACGACGAGGGAGGAGG